AAAAGAGUGUACAAAUAGUCUAUGUGAAGACUUUUUGCUGGCUUCAGAAGUUUGGAAAUUAGCCUGGAAAGAAGUCAGGUGUUUUGGAGAAAAGACAACUGCAGCAGGUUUUUGAUAAGAGGGAGGAAAUGGCAGGAAACAUGGUGUCAGCAGGGUCCUUGGAUUUCCAAGCCUGUUUAGAUGGGGUUUGUCCCUAAAGUGGAGUCUGAGAUAUUUUAACAUCUGCCUCAAGUUUGCCGGUGCAUCUGGACUGCAGAUUCUGUGAUGCUCAAGCAUUCUCCUGUAUUGGUGGGGAGAGAAGUUUGACAUUUCCCAAAGGAUUAAGUGUUGGUUUUGGUAAAGAAUAAAGUGCCAUGUAUGUUGAGCUGCUCUAUGAGGAUUGUUCAUCUUUGUCACCUUUAUGGAUCCAUUGCAAAAUAAAUGCAAAGCAAGGGAGACCCAGUGCUCCACUGGUCCCCCGAGCAGAGGUGAAUGUAGUGUCAAAUGAUGGCCCUUGAGCUCCAGGGUCCCCUACUUACCUGAGCCUUGGCAGUGUGUUUACAAGAUCGUCGUAAAAUUUGCAGAAGACAUUUUAACUACAAUGAGAUCGUUGGUUAAGACCACUCUCUUUCUACUCCAACUUCCGUUGAUGUCAGGUGCCCCUGGAGUGGCCAUGGGCAUCUUUGGAUCCAGCUAAAGAGAAGUGGAGUUGGGGAUACUUUUGGGUUGGACGGACAUACUUACGUUGUUCAUGGUCUCUUCUGUAUACAGUUGAGUUGCUGCUGUCCUGAGCUAGCGAUAGCUUCCAGGAGUAUUCCUAAAGACUCUUGUGCCCACUCAUUAGGACAGGACAUCAAGAACAUGUCAAAGCUUUAAGCUUUAGGUCCUACAAUAUGUGGAUCCACCUUCUCUCGAGGCAUAGUUCUCAGGCCAUCUAGAGUCUGUGCCAAUCUGUGGACACCCCAACUUGGGAUCCCAAGCAAGAGAACACUGGCAGAGGAUCCUUUGAUCCCCUACCCCCUUGCAUUGCAUUCAAUUCUAUGUAGUACCACCCUGUCAACACCAAUGAGGUGUUGACUCAUUCUGGGAAAGCUUUCGGCUUGAUCCUGCACUAUUGUUUGAGCUAGAAUUUAGUUGAGAGCAUUUUUAUUUACAAGGAAAAAAAAAUGCAUCAGCAUCUUUUUUUUGCACUUGCUGUUAUGUCCUCUCUGCUUUUGUAGCUAUGUCUGUAAAGUAAAAAUGGAUAUGAGUGGGAUGACAUGGUCCUUGAUCUGUGUGAAUUCCUAAUUUAACCCUUUCUACAACCACUUAUUUGGUUCAUUACAAAGAGUUAUUCUUUCAGCCUACUAGUGUAUUUGUUGUGGUGGUUUUAUAAAAUAUAUUUUUACUGGAAAGCAAAAUAUUAUAUUGUAAUAAUGUAAAAGUAUUAAUGCUUAAUGUAGAAAACAAAAUUAUUCAUAAUCCAAUGACUGCUAAGUUUGUUGUAAAUUCUUACCUUUGUUUGCUUAUGGUUAUGCAAUAUUCUGUUUAACUUAUUUAAAAAUUGUUUUGACAGAAGUGGGAUCGUAUCCAUGUUGCUUUGCGACUUGCUUUUUACACCUAUCAGUGUAUCAUCGAUAUCUUUCUGUAUUCUUUUUAAGGGCUGGAUAGCAGUUUUUGUCUGGUGAUAUCAUUAAUUUAAUCAAUUCCUUAGGGUUGUUUUCAGUUGUUUUACUAUAACAAAUGGUGCUGUAAUGAGCAUCCUUGUUCAUAUAUCUUUGCACACCUUGGAAUUUUUUCCCCCCAGUAAUAGAAAUUUCUAGCAGUAGAAUCCCAGGGUCAAAGGAUAUAUACAUUUAAAAAUGUUAAUAGAUGUUUCCAAAUUGCCCUCUAAAUCAUUGUACCAAUUUAUAGAUUCACCAGUAAUGUAUGAGAGUGCACAUUUCUCUAUACCCCUGUCAACCUAAUAGUAUCAAUCACUUUAAUUUUUUCAAUCUGAAAAUGGUAGCUAAGGGUCCCUUUAAUUUUUAUUUCUUUAAUAGGUUGAAUGUCUUUUCAUAUCUUCGUUUAUUAUUGUAUACUUCUGUGACUUGCCUGUUCAUAUUCUUUGCCUGUUUUUUUAAAAAAAUUGACUUAUUCUCUUAUUGGCUUGUAAGAGUUAUUUGGAAUUACUUGAGAUAUUAGGCCUUUGUCCUCCUGUAACACUUGAUUGCAAAGGACACUUGCUAUUGCAUUGUAAACUCUUUAAGUUCUCCUAUGAAAAUCCGUUGGAAUAUAGUCAGUGAUGCUGUAUGUAAAUUAACAAAAAUAAAUGGAGAUGUUUCAUAUAGCUAAAAAAUUAGAGAGGUGGGCAUUGGUCCAAAAUUGGUUUGGAAGGUAAUUUUGUUCUUUAUUAGCAGAGAAGUUGUCACUCUUCUUCCCUAAACCAAGGAAGGAGACCAAAUCUGAAGCGAGGGUCCCCUUGCCAUGUUUACACAAAGCUCUGUGAUGAGAAAUUAGUCAUUGUUCUAGCAGAUAGUGCA
rnacentral:lncRNA from 1 species